AUGUAAUUUAGAAAAAAUGUUAUAAAUUUUUUAAAGUAAUUUAUAAAGGUAUUUAUUAAAAAAAAUAGUAUAUGCUACAUAGAUAUAAAGUUUAAUGGUAUAAAAUGCAAUAUUUUCAAAAAUUAGGGGCUCAAGUGAACGGGGCAUAAGAAACUUGGUUUUCUGUCGGCUCAAACCCUAGCCGUCACAAAGUGAGAAGUUGGUAUCAUGUGUUGCAGGAGGUUUGUUGCCCGGUGGUGUAGCUCUUUCCGGUGAUUCUUUAUUCUUUUUCCGACGUUCGACGGUGACAGACGAGACCAACUCGUCCCUUCUCUUGCGACAGACGAUGACGACCGGUGGUGAUGUGUCAUGUGCGUAGUCGUCACCUACAAAGAAAGAAAGAAGUUGGUAUCAUGUGGCGUAUAUGACGAUUCGGCGGUGAUAUAUGAGACUUCUUCUCUUCUCCGGUGAUAGGUGAGGACGACUUCCUCUCUCCGGGAAUAGGUGAUGACGAUGGUUCACUGUAUUUUUUGUCAAAUCUUGCUCACGGCGGUUCAUGGUCAUUCACGGUGGUUUGUGGUGUGUUCGUUCCCCUCUCUCUCUCUGGUUCCGCCUUCGACGGAGAUUGAUGGUCACCGUCGAUAGUUGUUGCCGACGGCGAUGAUGACAAUGGUUAAUGUUCUUUGAUUUUCAAUGUAAUUAUAUGUUGGUUGUUUAAUAAUCUAACAUUGCAGUAUUUUUAGAAAUAGAAUGCAAUUUUCAAAAAUAAAGCUGAAAUUUCAUAGUA